UACGAAGGGGGCGAGCGUUGUUCGGAUUUACUGGGCGUAAAGGGCGCGUAGGCGGCGCGAGAAGUCGAGUGUGAAAGCCCCGGGCUCAACCUGGGAAUUGCGCUCGAUACUCUUGUGCUUGAGUUCGGGAGAGGAGCGUGGAAUUCCCCAGUGUAGAGGUGAAAUUCGUAGAUAUUGGGAAGAACACCGGUGGCGAAGGCGGCGCUCUGGACCGAGACUGACGCUGAGGCGCGAAAGCGUGGGGAGCAAACAGG
rnacentral:rRNA from 1 species